rnacentral:misc_RNA from 1 species
GUUGACUUCACAUCCAUUCUUUAAAACUUUUCAUUUAUCAAAACAACCAAAAAAGAAAUCUUUCCCAUUUCUUGUAUCAAUUCUUGUUGAAUUCAUCGCUCACAGCAUAUGUCACCAUCCUCAAAAUUUAAUAAACUUCCUUUUUAUUUUCUUUAUUUAAAAUCUUUGUUUGAAUCAUUCUCUCCUCUAUGAUCUUUUUUUUUUUUUUUUU